GCCAGGCAUGGUGGCUUAUGCCUGUAAUCCCAGCAUUUUGGGAGGCUGAGAUGGGAGGAUUGCUUGAGGUCAGGAGUUUGAGACCAGCCUGGCCAACAUAGCAAGACCCCAUCUCUA
rnacentral:SRP_RNA from 1 species